AUGCGUCCGGUCAAGCCGGUGGGAGGCAAUGCCAGAAAAGUUGCCUUGGAUGAAGGUGACCAACGGAAAUUGAACUUAACUGUGCGAUCUUCGUUGAGAGAGGUUGAAGAUUGUGCUAAAUUGCUCGAGUGGAGGGUGAAGUCUAACAUUUCCCGCCCUCUGAUGGGAGUUUUGUACCUGAGGAUAGAUUGUGAUACAAUGAUUCUUGACAUGGGUGAGGCUAAUAAGAAGCUUCGCAUCACUAGCGAUGGUAUACAACAAUUAUUUGGUUUCCCUCGUGGUGGUCGUUCUGCGCCAAGGCCGUUAGAGGACGGAUAUGAUGACGCUCUGAUGAAGUUAAGAUCAGAGCUUGACAUUAGUAGGGACAAAGAUAUCAAGACAAAGGAUUUGAGGAAUAAGCUCAAGGUGCUCGUCAAGGAUCCUAGCAAAGAUGACCUUGCUCUGAAAGUGUUCUUCAUUAUUGUGUUUAUGAAGGUUGUGUUGCCUGGAUCUGCCCCGUGUGUUUCCAGAGAGGCAGCAAUGUUUGAGGGUCUCGUCUUUGAGGACAUGGCUAAUAUGGAUUAUUGCCAGCUGAUGGUUGAUGAGCUUAGAAGGCUGUUGCCAAGUACCAAAGUGGUCAUACCAUGGGGAAGGCAAUCACAGGUUGUGCCAUAG
rnacentral:rRNA from 1 species